UUUAUUAGAUACAAAUAUAUCAUAUCUGAAAAUUGAAAUGUGUUAAUAACAUCAUAGAAUAUAAUCUUUACCAGAGAUAUCCUGCGAAAUACCUUUCUGAGGGAAUACAUGAAAUGGAUUACACAUUUAUUGCUUAUUGAGUGAAAAUCAAC